ACGGACCCAACUACAGUCUGUGUGAGUUUCCAUGCGAUGCCCUAAUUUCAUUGCUCUGCUCCUAUAAAUUCACACCCUUUUCCCAUCCUUGCAUCAUUCUGUCACCAGAACUUGUUACUAUGUUCACGGCCGCUCACAAUUAUGUUCUGUGAUCUGCAGUGCACUAGUACUAAGGCAAUGUGACGACUUAAUAUCACGAGUUGCCUAAUGAAUAAUGUGCAAAAAAGAGUUUUGGGCACCGCUUUGCAGAUCUGACUUUCACAUGUUUGGGCUGCCAGUAUCACCCAUAGAUAAGUUCCAUGUUUAAAUUUUGAUUCUCAUUUUGUUUGUUGGUGAAUUGGUGGUGCCUUCUUUUUGUUUCCUGAAUUUGGUUUAUUCUGUGCCAAGUGACUAAUGAUUACAUCCUACAAAAGGGGUUGCAAUGGAGUUGUUAGAGUGCUUAUUUAACCUUACUUUUAUUUUGUUAAGUUUGUCUCAAAUCUCAAUAAUACUUAGAAAGAAUAGUGUUUUGUUUUAAAAUUUAAUUUAAUUUAAUACAAAUUGGGCCUUAACAGUUAACAUAAUAAGGAUGGUGUACUUGUGUAACCAAGGCUUUGUUUGUAUCUAAUGGGCAUGAAAAUCUACAAGAUUGGUACAUAGCAUGUGUUUAUGUCAAUUUUGCACUCCUACGAGGCCCCAUCGUCAUUUAUCAAUGGAAGCCUAAUCUUAACGUGCAUAAAUAAAUAUUGGGAAUUUUGAGAUUAUGUUUGGCACUUUGAAUAAUCUCGUGUUCUGCUGCCGCAAGUUCCCUUACAUGUCUGCUAUGAAAUCUAUCUAUUGUCUAUUGACUUGAGAAAUUAUAUUUGUUUUAAUAUAUUUCUUCUAUUUAUAUUAUUGGAUGUAUAAUCUUAAUGUGCAGAUGAAUGUUGGGUCGGAAUUUUGCAUUUCAGUAUAAGCACUACAUGUCCUUGCUGCUUCUAGUACCCUUGCAUAUUGCAUCUAAGCAAAGUUAUUCAUAGGCGACUUCAUUUGAUUACAAGUAUAUUCUUUUGUAAUACGGUUAUAUUGCACACCUACGAGGCUCCAUUACAAUUAUAUUAUUGGAUGCUUAAUCUUAAUGUGCAUAAAUAAAUUUUGGGAUCUGCAUAUGGAUGCUUGCUCAAACUUAAGUUUUUUGCUAGCUUGCAGUAACCCCCUUACAUAUAUAUAUCUGGCAAGUUUCAUCUUCAUGGAA